GUAUUCCUUCUACGCCGGCCGACGCCAGCCGCGGACGUGGGAGAUGGACCAGUGCUGGUAACUAACAAGAUGCAUCAAAGAGAAUUCAAUUGUGUUACUCUGCUGAUUUUCCUUGCUUAAAUGUUGGAAAACCAAAAGGACCAUCAUAUGUGCCCCUUGAGUUUCACUGCAAAGAUAUACCAAAUCACUGUCAACAUUUCAACAAGCUUCCCUGGUGGAAAAGUCAAGGCUGAAGCCUUAUGAAUGAAUAA